UCCCAAAAAUAACUCUAGACGAAUUCAUGGUUCAGGUUAAGAAAUCAACGACUCAGGGCUUUCGACGAAUAAAUCGAUAUUGAAAAUAAUGAUAGUCGAUAAAAUAUUGUUGAUAAUUUUUAUAAGGAUAAAAGGUGAUGAGAAUUAUUUAUUAGAAAUAAUAUAUGAGUUAUAUUAUAAAUAAGAUAAGGUUUGUGUUAAAAUUGUCUAUUUCGAAUUAUAUGUGGUUGAUUCGAUAACAAAAAAAAGAGCCAAAUAAGUAACAAGGAUUAAGGAAUAAAGUAGCAUUAAAAGUAAGUAUUAGAAGUAUAGUGAGGGUGAGAAUGAGAAGAAAAUCGGAGUUGAAUCGGGAAUCAUAAAUAGAAUACGGUAGAAGGGCAAAAUCGUCUUUUCACAUGAAAUAAAAUAAAAUAUCUUGUUUAAAUCAUAGGGCACGAAAUUUCCAGCAUUUUGGACAUGUUUGACUUCAAAAUAUGCCUUAAAGUUAAUAGAAAAUUCUAGAGAAAAUAAAAUAACUAUGCAUGAUUUGAUGAAGGCCACUUGUACACCAAAAAUACCAUGAAAUUAAUUAAUAAUUUGGGACACUUUUAUAAACCAAAAAUAACACUAUUUAUCCUCAUUUUCAUCCCAAAAGUCGUGUCCUCCAUAGCCAAGGAGUUCCAAGCUUUCAUCUUCAAAUUUUAGCUCCGUUUCUCAACGUAUUGAAUACCCGAUCGCGCAAUCGGUGUUAAAUCAAGCUACACCCAAAUGUUAGCAAAUGAAAGGAAAAAGGAUCGGCGAAAGAAGAAAUGUCGAAUGGAAAGGUUUGGAAAUAACGUCAUCCAGGUAGCAUGCUCAACACUUAAAUGGCCUAAUUCUCUUACGUGUUUUUCCGUGAUUAUUACGUGACUUAUUGUCUAAAUAAUUUAUGAUUAAUUACUUGAUAAAAUAUUCAUGAAGUAAAAUAUAAGAAUAUGAUGGAUUGUUGAUUGAUUUGAUAAUGAAAUAUGUGCAAAGAGUAUGCGUUGUGGAGAUGGAAAUAAAUGUGAUUAAAUGUGAUGAUGUCUGAUCUAUCUAUCUGUGAUGAGGUCUGAUUUGUCUGUCUGUGUUGAUAUAUUAUUAUCUUAGUAGAUUAUGAGUAAUUAUGUGAUAAAAGACUUGUGAAGUAAAACAUGAGAAUAUGAUGAAUUAUUGAAAGAUUUGGUAAUGAGAUGUGAAAAGGGAAGAAUAUGGUUGUGACUGUAGAUAAUGUGGAAAUGAGCAUUUAGAAGGAUAUGAUAAAUGAUAUAUGAUGAUGAGACGUAUACAAAUAUGAUUAAAUGUGAUGAUACUUGAUCUAUCUAUCUAUCUAUCUAUCUAUCUAUCUAUCUAUCUAUCUAUCUAUCUAUCUAUCUGUGAUGAGGUAUGAUCUGUCUGUGUUGUUGGGAAUCUGGGAUGAUUUUGAGAAUGUCGGAAUUUAAUCUAUAAAUUCGAUAUGAUAUGGUGUGAAAAUAAGUUGUUGAUGUGUUAUAUUAGAAAUAAUUGAGAAUAUGUAUUGAGAUGAAAAUGAGUAAAUUUGAUGGUGUUUACGCCCCGUGCUUGAGUGUAUUCUGUGGGUACAAUUGGCAUGCCAUAGGACAGCAGCGCUGCAUCAUCUGUGAUCUCUCGUCUUCUGGAUAACCGAAGCGAGGAUCGUCUGUUAUCUGAUCUGUCUGAUCUGCACCCUUUGGGUGGUCUGUUCCCGGGAUUAUCUGUAUGCAUCCGAAACGGAUGGUCUGAUUAUCUGUCUGCACCCUAAUUGGGUGGUCUGUGCAGAGUCCUCUCGAGGACAAAAUCCGCGUUUGUAUCUGAUUCUGAUUUGGUCCGUGUACCCUAGUCUGUCACUAAGCACAUUAAGGGGCCAUGUGUGAAAUUAUGUGAUAAUGUCGAUCAAAAUAUUCGUGAUGAUAUAUGUGACAAUAUGUGUAUGACAACAUAUGAGUUAUAAUAUGAGAUUGUGUGAAACAUCUGUUAUAAUUUGAUAUGAUAAUAUCUUAUACGUGAAAAUAGAUUUUGUUACAUGGUUCUGUUGAGUUUUAUUAUAAAUAUUGAAAAUCUGAGACUUGCAGAUGUAGUUUAUGACAUGUGAAGUUUUGUAUUAUUAUACCCCUCUGAUGACAUAGUUUGGAAAUUUGAAGUCGUGGACGAAGAUUUGACUACUGGUACGGGUAUGUUGAUACGUGUGAUGACGUCUGUGAUUUGUCUAUGUUAAUGUGUGGAUAUCAUUUGGAAUAUUAGAUGCUUCAUAUAAAUGCUGAUGACUGUUGAUAAAUUCUGGGUUUGAUAUUGCCUAUUGUUGGGUUUUGGGCAUGUGUUGGUUAUAGAGGAGAUGUUGCCCAAUUUAUGUUAGAAAUUAAUAAGACAAUAAUAAUAUGAUAUAUGCGGUAAUGAUUGGUAAAUAUAAUAAUAAGAAUUUAAGUUGUAUGAUUUUUGAUUGUUAGAGAAUUGUGGCUGAAGUGUUGAGUUUGCUACAGGUUAAUUGGAUCGUGGAUUCCUUUGGAUAUUUCUUUCGUUUCUUCGCCAGCACUGCAUCCUCGGUGGGUCACUGAUCACUGCUUGCGGCGUUUGUGUCCAUUUAUGUUAGAUGUGGCAUGUAUAGUAUUUGAAUAUUUGUAAUAGCUUCCGCUGUGUUUGUAUAUAGUGUUGGAACUUUUGCUGAUAGGUUAAUUAAUUAAGUUUGGUUUUUAA